rnacentral:ncRNA from 1 species
UACCUGGUUGAUCCUGCCAGUAGUCAUAUGCUUGUCUCAAAGAUUAAGCCAUGCAUGUCUAAGUAUAAACUGCUUAUACUGUGAAACUGCGAAUGGCUCAUUAAAUCAGUUAUAGUUUAUUUGGUGGUACCUUACUACUCGGAUAACCGUAGUAAUUCUAGAGCUAAUACGUGCGUAAAUCCCGACUUCUGGAAGG